AUAACUUCAUGGUCUUUUUGCUAAAAUCAAAUAUAGUGUGUCUAUUAUCAGUUUAUGAAUUAUCCUGUCUUCCAGAACUACAUAAUAAAUGAAUCUUUGGAAUCUGGCAAUGGAGAAGUUUGCUCCAUCCACUCCACACAUCCUCCUGUUGUUACAGUACCACCAGGAAUGAUGCAACCCCU
ensembl:snRNA U2 U2 spliceosomal RNA